UUGACACCCAUUUAGUGAGUAUUUGGCAAUUUUUCUCACCGUUGACUUUGUUCUAGUGAAGUAAAGGGAGACAGAAGUACUGAAGAGAAGAAAUGCUCAACUGGAUAAAGGCAGGAAGAAGAAAUAUUUGGUAGACUGUUUUUCACUGCCUUUCAGUAGGACAAGGGUCUUGCUCUGUCGUCCAGGCUAGAUGCAGUGGCAUGAUCAUGGCUCACUGCAGCCUCGACCUUCCGCGCUCCGGCAGUCCUCCCACCUCAGCCUCCUG
rnacentral:lncRNA from 1 species